CUUAAGGGAACUGACCAUUCAUCCAGAAAGAGCAAAGAUUCUUCACAGAGGAAGGUGCCUGGGAAGCCCCAGGAUCUUUGUCAACUAGCACUUUGUAAUCAUAGAACCUAACUGAAUCUCCAAAACUGCAUCAUUUCUCAGGAUGUAGAUCUCUGACCAUCUCAACAGAGAAAAGACAAGGAAGUUAACCAGGACAUCCUAAGACUUUAAGGUAUUUUCAUCAGGAGUAUUCCAUUUUUGCCACGUAAGUGAAAUAUCUUGGACACUGCACAGGACAUGAAUGUCAGACUCUUGAUGGGGGAGUUUGCUUCCUGGUAAAGUAAGUGGCUGUAGACCUCAUAUUGGAGGGAAGACACCAUGGUAGUGACAUAAAACAGGUUGUCCAGGUGAAUGUGUCUCAAAGCAUUCAGGAAUUGCACCCAGGCUGUGGUGCAGUUCAUUGUGUUCUCACGAUGGGUGGGGAUGUCAUCCCCGUUUGAGACUCAGUAAUAUAAGCCUCCUAGGACUUCCAAAGUGACUCCCUCUUGCUGCAAUGUUGAGAUGCAUAGCAAUUUUAAAUUUAAUUUAUUCAUCCAAAAAGUAUCUCUUGUCACUACCUAAAG
rnacentral:lncRNA from 1 species